ensembl:lncRNA
ACUGGUUAAUGCUAUGGAGGGUAUAGAGACGUGUUGUGUUGACUGGUUAAUGCUGUGGAGGGUAUAGAGAGGUUGUGUUGACUGGUUAAUGCUAUGGAGGGUAUAGAGAUGUGUUGUGUUGACUGGUUAAUGCUGUGGAGGGUAUAGAGAUGUGUUGACUGGUUAAUGCUAUGGAGGGUAUGGAGAUGUGUUGACUGGUUAAUGCUGUGGAGGGUAUAGAGAUGUGUUGUGUUGACUGGUUAAUGCUGUGGAGGGUAUAGAGAGGUGUUGACUGGUUAAUGCUGUGGAGGGUAUAGAGACGUGUUGACUGGUUAAUGCUGUG